UGAAUAGGCUCGGCGGGCUCUAGAUCCGCCCCUGCUUCAACCUGCAAACCAGUGAGUUGCAAAGUAUUGUGUGGUUGUAAUGGAUUGGUUCUUCUUGUAGUUACUGAUAGACGUGAUAUACACUUUUUGCUGUGGAACUCCUCCACAAGAGAAUCGAUAGAACUUCCCCGUCCAGAAUCUCGAUUGGGGUAUUAUGUAUUUGGACUGGGAUAUGACGCAACUAGUGAUGACCAUAAGAUCCUUACGGUUAACCUGAAUGAAAGCGAUCGUGACAAAGUAUAAAUUGAAAUUCUCGCGCUAAAAAGUGGUUCUCGGAGAAUAAAUGAUAAAUAUCCUUUUGGCACUGACUGCGUACGGGGUCAUAUUGAUUGUGGUAUGGAUUCUUUGGCAUUUGUACAUGGAUCAUUUCAUUUGCUUGCUACGGAUGUUUCAUUUACUACGCUGCAAACGUUACGGAUGUUUUGGUUCUGUAUUAAGCACAUCUAGAGGACCAUGGCCAGAAUGUGUUACCGUUAAGCAAAGAAUCGCUUAUACAGAGAGCUUGAUCUCUCCUAAAUUACUUAAUAUUUGCUUAUGUAGGAUCAUGACACUUUUUUCCUUUUUACUUUUCUUGAAGAUUGUAUAACCUCUUAUUUACUCUGAUAAAUUUAUCUAUUGCUGCUAAAUAUUGGUCCCCAAUGUAUUUAUCAAAGCUGUGAGCUUACUUAUUUUAUGUUCCCUGAGAAGUGAUUCUUUGCUAAGAAGUGAUUGAAGCUCCCUCUUUUUACCUAUUGCUACUUGUCAAAUUGUACAUAGUAAUUGCUACAACUAAUGCACUGUUUAUUCUGCAGCUGGAGAUCAGUGGAGCGAUUCCUAGCUGUAUUGAUCAUUAAUAAUCUGAUCUGGUUAAUUUAAAAUUGGCAGUCUAGAGUCUCUUACAAUUAUCCAACUUUGUUUUCAAUAUUUCAUCUCAUAUGUCAUUCUCGUAUACAAUCUCUCAUUUAAUCUUGCUGUAUGUCCAAACUUCUGUAUAUCAGCAACACUAAAUUGAGUCUUUGCUAUGGCUAAGAGGUUUAUUCCCGUGGUUUGACUUAAAUUGUUAGUUUUAGACCCCCAGUGAGAAAACUUAGCUGAACAUGCAGGUGCGAUGUUUGGUGGUAAAUAGAAAAAAUGAGUACAAUGCAUGCUAUGUCCCUAAGUUUUCCUAACAGUGUUCGCUGGUCCAGUCACCGGAAUUCCUUGGAACCUUAGAGCAUAUCUGCUCCAGUGAGACAAAGACCAAACACAAAGCCAUCAUCAAUUGUUUCAAUCAUUCUCUUCUCUCCUUUUCAAUGCGUUCUUGAGAAAAUCAAGCUGCUUGAGCUGCCAGCUUUCCAGUGUUUAUCGGAGUUGGAAUGUUGGAUGUUGAUAUGCUAAAGUUUUUCAUCCUUAAAUAUCUAUUUAUUGUGGACUACAGAAUGUGGAUGGACUAUAAUGUAGUAUCUUUGUUUAUGCUUUUUGCUUAUGCUAUAUGUUUGUUGCCUGUUGGGUCAAUUGGAGUCUCACUAAUAAUUGUUUUCCAUGUGCAGAUUACGUGGUUUAUUUUAAUCCUAUGUAAACAUAUUGACUCAGAACAACAAGAAGAAACAUCAGUAAGAGGCCAGCUAAAGCCGACGAAAAAAAAAAACAACAAAUAAACAUAUACACCAUCAGAGCUUUUUAGGAAAGCCAUCAACGGUCGGGGUCACCGAUGUAGCGACGGUUGACGGCGGAAGCGGCCUUCACCCAAGGACAGAUGCAAGAUUCCCUGCUCAGGUUUCACUUUUUCGCAUCUUAAUCUCUCACCAGAUGCCGUGCAAACCAUCGCCAUGGAGUCGAGUCUCUAAGAAUCCAGAUCUAGUCCUACCGGAUACCCCGACAAGUGAAAGGAGAAGUGCUUUAAUGGCUGGUUUACCUAAUAAGGGGAUUCACAUAGCUGAUGAGGUUCAAAUAUGUUGAUCUAUGUUGUGAAAUUUGUUUCCAACUUCUUUAGUUACAGUUACUGAAGGGGAAAAUAUAUAUUCCAGGGCGAGCUUCCUACAAGUUUCCCAACAAACUUAAGCAUUACCCUUCUUUUUGCCGAAAUGCAACUACAAUAACUGUUAAUUCCUUUGCUAUAGUCAUGGCCAAAGAAGAAAGUCACUGCCUAGGUUACUUGAAAGAUUUCUAUGGGAACAAGAAGGGACAGAAAAAGUUAAAGUGCAGUGGUUUCAACAUUUUCAGGAAGUCCACUGUGUAAUUCCUCAGCCCGAGGUACACCCUAGAGAAGUAUUUAUCACGCCUCAUGUUCAGGUGAUCCAUGUUGAGUGUAUCGAUGGUCCUGCUACAGUUUUGACUCCUAGAGAUUACAACAACAACAUACCAGUAUUUUGACUCCUAGAGAUUACGAGAAAUAUAUCUCUCUUGUCCUGAAAAGUUUGUCCGCUGGUGUCUAUAUGUGCUUUAGGGAAUUCAGAAACAACAAAGUCAUGAAUUGGAUGGUUACUACAAUGAAACAAUAUUUAAGUCAAAGGGUCUUAAGUUGCAUGAAGUUAAAGAUAUAACCCGUGAAGAUCCUUCAGGGCAAGGGCCUAGUCGGGGUAGAAGUGACAGGGAGUAUCCGAAACUGGAGAGUCAGAUAGAAAAAGCUGAACCAACUUGCCCGAAGUUAAAAACAAAAUUGCCAAGCAGAGUACCAGUUGGAAUUCAGCUUGUUGAGCCGCAAUGUAUGCGGUCUUUUGAACUUGGUGAUAACUUAGAGGUUCUUAGCCAGGAUAGUGGCAUGAGAGGCUGCUGGUUCAGGUGUAAGGUCUUACAGGUAUUACAAAAAUGUCUGAAAAUUCAAUACGAUGACAUCCUGGACUGUGAUGGUCCUGCAAAGCUGGAGGACCUUAAUCGCUGCGACUAUAACUUCAAGUUUAUAUGCAGUAGUAUUUGUAAUUGGACCUUGGAGAACAUAUACAAAAGUAGAAUUAUCACAAAAACUGAAGUCUCCUAGAUGCCAGCAAUGUCACUUGUAGAAUUGUCUGAAAUCAGUUCUUCUUACCUUCAAGAAAAUCAUUACACCAUCACUUUAUUUAGUUUAAGCACAUUGGCAUCUUGCUUCUUCAUGGAGUGUUGAGAAGUUGACGCCAUUUUUUGUCUUCAGGUGCCACAAGCUUGGGAGCCAUCUGACUUCCGAGGUUCCUGGAUUCUUUGAUACUGCACUUGGAUACCUCAGGUAAAGUCGAGCUUAUGAAUGACUUUACGUCUUUCUUUCCCUUAACUUCAACCCAUUUGUCAUCUAUCCAUAGCUUCAGAGGAAGAAUGUGAGGAUUUCACGAGAUUGGAUAGAUUACAAAUGGGUUGAAGUUACGGGAAAGAAAGACGUAAAGUCGUUCUAAGCUCGAGUUUACCUGAGGUAUCCAAGUGCAGUAUCAAAGAAUCUAGGAACCGCGGAAGUCAGAUGGCUCCCAAGCUUGUGGCAUCUGAAGACAAAAAAAAUGGCGUCAACUUCUCAACACUCGAUGAAGAAGCAAGAUACCAAUGUGCUUAAACUGAAUAAAGUGAUGGUGUAAUGAUUUUCUUGAAGGUAAGAAGAACUGAUUUUAGACAAUUCUACAAGUGACAUUGCUGGCGUCCAGGAGUCUUCAGUUUUUGUGAUAAUGGUGACAUGCUUUUGGUACUGUGGAUAAAUAUUUUGACUUGUAAGUAACUCUCAACGAUGCCCGAUUUGCCUUUUUCAAUAUAUAGGUCUUUGACAACAAAACAUGGAAAAGGCAACUUACAGAACUUAAGGACUAUAGGCAAGUACUCUUCUGUUUAGUAUGUGUUUUGCAUAUUGGCCCAGAAGUUGGUAUGCUCUUGUAUUGUAGACUUUCUUAUUGGAUAUUUAUAAGAGUGUAGCUUUAUGAA